AGCAGCCGCGGUAAUCCAGCUCCAAUAGCGUAUAUUAAAGUUGUUGCAGUUAAAAAGCUCGUAGUUGAACUUCAGACCUGACCGGGCGGUCCGCCUAACGGCGUGUACUGUCUGGCCGGGCCUUACCUCUUGGUGAGCCGGCAUGCCCUUCGCUGGGUGCGUCGGGGAACCAGGACCUUUACCUUGAGAAAAUUAGAGUGUUCAAAGCAGGCUUACGCCGGGAUACAUUAGCAUGGAAUAAUAGAAUAGGACGUGCGGUUCUAUUUUGUUGGUUUCUAGAGUCGCCGUAAUGAUUAAUAGGGAUAGUUGGGGGCAUUUGUAUUGCGUUGCUAGAGGUGAAAUUCUUGGAUUUACGCAAGACAAACUAUUGCGAAAGCAUUUGCCAAGGAUGUUUUCAUUAAUCAAGAACGAAGGUUAGGGGAUCGAAAACGAUCAGAUACCGUUGUAGUCUUAACAGUAAACUAUGCCGACUAGGGAUCGGACGACCUCGAUAUCAUGCGUCGUUCG
rnacentral:rRNA from 1 species